rnacentral:rRNA from 1 species
GACGAACGCUGGCGGCGUGCCUAACACAUGCAAGUCGAACGGGGAGUUAUUUAUAACUCCUAGUGGGGAACGGGUGAGUAACGCGUAGACAACCUGCCUCUAAAUUGGGGACAACACCGCGAAAGUGGUGCCAAUACCGAAUGUGGUAACUUGGUCGCAUGACUCGGUUAAGAAAGAUGGCCUCUAUAUAUAAGCAAUCGAUUAGAGAUGGGUCUGCGUCUGAUUAGCUAGUGGGUGAGGUAAUGGCUCACCAAGGCGACGAUCAGUAGCCGGUCUGAGAGGAUGAACGGCCACACUGGGACUGAGGCACGGCCCAGACUCCUACGGGAGGCAGCAGUGGGGAAUCUUCCGCAAUGGACGAAAGUCUGACGGAGCAACGCCGCGUGAGUGAAGAAGGUCUUCGGAUUGUAAAGCUCUGUCGUUUGGGACGAACGUGGAUUGUGUGAAUAAUGCAGUCUAAUGACGGUACCAAAGGAGGAAGCCACGGCUAACUACGUGCCAGCCGCCGCGGUAA